UGAAAAUGAGAUUGCUGCAAUCCGUGAUGGCAAUGAGCAUGAUCAAAGCUUAGGGCGCACCAGUGCGGCCAAGGGACCUGUUAAUGAUCAUGCAAUUUCAACAAGAAAUGGAUGGAGCUCGUAAGCUUCCAAUGUCCAAUUAAUUGCAGUCCGGAAAGGGCAAUAUUUCACUUUAGUAAAAGGAAGAGGACAACAAGAUACACAUACAAGAGGUUGCAAAGUUGAAAAACUAACAUCACCUAUUGAUGAGCUUGAGGAAGCUAUAUUGGCUGCUAGAUAAAAA